CAGCAGAGAAACAGCUUCAUCGUCCUCCUCACUCUCUCUCACCUUGCGAACUCAACCUUAGCUAGCAAUGGUAAUCUCACGCACUCGAAACUCAUCCUUCUUAUGACAUCAACAAAACCCUCUCACGCUCUCAACGAACCCCUCUCAAUCACUCUCAGCUCUCACAAUAUUUCCAACAGCAAGCACAUGAGAAAGAUAAAAAAGAAAGAAAAAGAAGUACUCACAAAGCGUCACGGCGGCGAUGGUGAAGGACGCGAAGAAGCUGGCCUCCAGGGUUUCCAAUGGGGUCUUUGCUGUUCAAAAGGAGUGUUUCUGCAAAGCACUUUGGAUGCUCAGACACAUAAUCACCCUAUCCAUGUUAGAUUCAAGAAAAGUGAAAAUUGGUUACAAGGAGGUUGUGGAUGUUGGUAACAUAUUGUAGUGACAACUUGUGUUUUGUCAUGACUUUAACUUGUUUGUGCAUGAACUGCUGCCAGGGUCUUGAAUGGAACAUACACAUCUCUGUCAUGGUCUGCUUCAUGAAGUAGCAGGAUAUGGUCUUGAUUUGGACUUGUCGAUGCAGAUUGUUGGUUGUUGCUAUAGCAGUUGAUGGUUGAUGCAGGUUCAAUGACUGGGCUGGUUCAACAUAUCUGCUUCUGCCUUCAUUGGGACUUAAUGCAGGAUGGUAUUUUUGCUUCCUGAUUGUACAUCCUUGGAUCCUUCAGGAAGGCCCAUCUUCUCUACCAAAACCUUCAAAGCUGCUUCAGUAGGCAUUCCAUGGGCAACAAACUUAUGCUCUGACUGUGACACUCCGGCAUCAUUACAAACAGCAGCAAUUUUCGCUAUCAUCUGAAGAUUAGCAUCCAAUCGACCAGCUGGCAAAAUUCUCUAUUUGACCAUCAGAUGGAUUAUACGUAGUUCCUUCCACCUUAGAGGCUCGCAGGGUAUCUACAUUAGGGCCACUAGCUACUAGUUUUGAAACAGCCAUCCGGUUUGUUGUCAAUGUACCAGUUUUUAUCAGAGCAAAUCACAGUUGUACAACCCAGAGUUUCGACACUAGGUAGUUUCCGAACCAGGGCAUUCUUCUGGGUCAUUUUGCAAGUACCAAGUGCAAGGCAAGUCGUGAUGACAGCGGGCAAUCCCUCCGGAAUAGCAGCCACAGCCAAUGCCACAGCAAUCUCAAAGUAAUACGUACACUUCUCAAAUGAAAACUUGAAGUUCCACUUUGAGCAAUAGUUCCAAGACAGUCAACUAGUUCUUGCUUAGUCAUACCAAUGCCUGUAUCAGUGAUAGUGAUGAUCCCCAUUAUCCUUAUCAGCUUGAAUUCGGAUAUCAAAAUCAAUUGCAUCCUUCAUCAGGUCAAGCUCUGUAACACUAAAAAAUCGCAGCUUAUCCAAGGCAUCACUUGCAUUACUGAUAAGUUCCCUGAGAAACACUUCCUUGUUACUGUAUAAACUGUUAACAAUAAGGUCCAUGAGCCGACUAAACUCUGCUUGGUAUUCAAAUUUUUCAGCUGGUGGGGAACUUGAUGCAAAUUGUUGGCAAUGCUGCAGGAUCGGUGCCGACUACAACGCUCAAUUGCGUACCGGUUUGAGGCAGCUCACGUCAUAACAAAUGGUUCGGUGGUUCCCUGCGGAGUAGCUCUUGGUUGCAUCCACCUUGGAGGAAAGUCUGAGCAAAGUGCAUCCACCACCAACUACAAUACCCUCUUCAACAGCUGCCUUUGUAGCAUUAAAAGCGUCUUCAACUCUCAAUUUCUUUUCCUAGAGUUUUGUCUCAGUUUGUGCACCAACCUGUAUGACAGCCAUGCCACUAGACAGUUUUGCAAUAACAACAUCAGGAUCACUUUGAAAUGAGACAGCAGCUUCGAACUUUCUUCUUCGGAUAUUCCUAACUCUUUUUUUUUUUUACAGGAGCAAUUGAGCCAUCGGAGUUCUUUAAGGGCAAAGGGAUAUCCAUAGUAACCAGUUUUCCAGAUUUAUGAGAAGCGAUACAGUUACUUCCCAAAUAGAAUCAUAACUGAUGGACCUUUAGCAUGUCCCUUUAAAACCUCAUUUCAAUCACACAAUUUAAGGGAAAUAAAGAGGAUCGUUUUGCUUCCCAUGUUGGGUAUGUUCAAAGCUGCAUUUUCACUGACCGUGUUAUGAUUGAAUAACCGCAACGAACGUUGUUGUUCCAUGUAGCAGUGCAGUAGCAGUACAUGAGUUUUUCGCCUUCUUGGUCAGUUUAGAGUGAAUUACCAAUUGUCAAAGCUAGUUAACAUGGAAGGUUAUAACAAUUGGAUACUUUUGGUUACAGAGUUCACUCUUAAAUCUUUGCAGUCAUGGCAGUGGGCUAGCAACAGUGUAUACUACCUGUUGGGGUUGUGGUCCAGAUUGGCGGUUUCUGUUCCAUAUUUGAAGGGUGAUACACCAAGCUUACUUGGUGAAAUGUUCUUAAGAUUACGGAAAAUGUCAUCACGUCAAGAUUCAAUCAUGUGCAGGUUGGAUUGGUUGCAAAGUUGUAGGCUCAUUUGACUGUGGUGCUGCUACAGCUUAUUAUUUGGUGGCUAUGUGGAGUAGCAACUGGUGUUCACGAAGAAAUAUACAAGUAAUCACACCGAGAGACCCUAAAACUAAUAUGAAUUUCACAAGUUCAUCUUUAGCUGCAGACACUGAUCUUUUUUUUCUCUUCCAACAAAAUUCAAAAGCAGUUCAUGGAUGCAUGCGUAUAUAGAUUCUUCUUCAAUGCUUAGCUUGGCUCCUUGCCGCACUUCGUCUCGCAUAGCAUCCAACAAAGUAUAUGAUAGACAAAACAGAAAAUAAUACGACAUUGAAUAUCGCAACAACUCUCCACUCAGUUUUCAUGUAUUGCGCCACGCCGGCCUUGCAAGAAUCACAACAAUAGCAUUUGAAAGCUCGAGAAUUUUUUUGUACCGCUUGCAGUCAUGGUUAGGACUAACUGGAUGAAAGCUCAAGUCAUAGUAAGAUGCAUUUACAGCAGGAUAUCCACACUCAGAAGGCGGCCGACAGCAACUAGAUUCAAUUGGACUCAAAUCUUCAAUCUCUGCAAAAUAGGUGACUGCCCAAGCAAUGGCAGGAAAGCCAUCCAAAUUCAACCGGUUGCCAUGCAUUUUGCAGAUGAAUGCCAUCUUAGGCAUGCAACAUCAACAUGAGCAUUGCAUCUUGUUGUGGUUGAUGUGCUGCCAAUACUUACCUUGCUGUAGGAUUUUAUUAUCGACAUGGAUGAACUGCUGUCAUGCUGCAGAUUGUGUUGUUCUGCAAGCCUAAACCAGUACUUCAUGGCUUGUGCUUUGUAGGUUUGUGAUAGUGGUCAAGGCAUUUGCAAGGUUACUUGUGAGCGAAGCAACAAGGUGAAAGCACAAUCAACAUGUCUACUGGAUGAUUAAUCAAGGCAAAGUAACAUGGGAUUAUGUCCAAGUUUGGGAAAUCAGGGCUUCAGAAUUUUAGGGUUGACUUUGGUCAAAGUUGACCAAAAAGUCAACUGUUGACCAAAGUCAACAAAUGGUCCAAACUCAUUUUCUUGGCACUUUCUUUGUAAAUGGACAAUGUAUUGAUAAUCAUGGUGAAAUUUAGGGUAUUUGGAUUUUGGGUGACUUUGGUCAAAGUUGACCAAAAAGUCAACUGUUGGUCAAAGUGUCAAUUUUUGUGUAUUUUUGUAUGGAAUCAAAUGUAAUAAAAUUGAAAUGGAUUAACAAAAUGGUUUGAAGUUGGUUUCCAA